AGUUUGAUCCUGGCUCAGAAUAAACGCUAGCGGCGUGCCUUAUGCAUGCAAGUCGAACGGUCUCGAUUUAUCGAGAUAGUGGCGAACGGGUGAGUAACGCGUAAGUAACCUGCCCCUAAGUAGGGGAUAACUCUGAGAAAUUAGAGCUAAUACUGUAUGUGGUGGUGGGGGUAAUGCUUCAUCACUAAAGCCUUAGGGCGCUUAGGGAGGGGCUUGCGUCCGAUUAGCUAGUUGGUAGGGUAAUGGUUUACCAAGGCGAUGAUCGGUAGCUGGUUUGAGAGGACAUCCAGCCACACUGGGAUUGAGAUACGGCCCAGACUCCUACGGGGGGCAGCAGCAAGGAAUUUUGUGCAAUGGGCGAAAGCCUGACACAGCGACGCCGCGUGGGGGAUGAAGGCCUUCGGGUUGUAAACCCCUUUUCUCAGGGAAGAAUAAUGACGGUACCUGAGGAAUAAGUCGUGGCUAACUACGUGCCAGCAGCCGCGGUAAUACGUAGGCGGCGAGCGUUAUCCGGAUUUACUGGGCGUAAAGAGGGCGUAGGCAGUUUUUCAAGUCGAUUGUAAAAUCUCCCGGCUUAACUGGGAGGGGCCAGUCGAUACUGUUAGACUAGAGAGCAGCAGGGGGAGGUGGAAUUCCCGGUGUAGUGGUGAAAUGUGUAGAUAUCGGGGGGAACACCAGUGGCGAAGGCGGCCUCCUAGGCUGUUUCUGACGCUGAGGUCCGAAAGCGUGGGGAGCAAACAGGAUCAGAUACCCUGGUAGUCCACGCUGUAAACUAUGGACACUAGGUAUAGGGAGUAUCGACCCUCUCUG
rnacentral:rRNA from 1 species